CUACGUGCCAGCAGCCGCGGUAAUACGGAAGGUCCAGGCGUUAUCCGGAUUUAUUGGGUUUAAAGGGAGCGUAGGCCGGAGAUUAAGUGUGUUGUGAAAUGUAGACGCUCAACGUCUGACUUGCAGCGCAUACUGGUUUCCUUGAGUACGCACAACGUUGGCGGAAUUCGUCGUGUAGCGGUGAAAUGCUUAGAUAUGACGAAGAACUCCGAUUGCGAAGGCAGCUGACGGGAGCGCAACUGACGCUGAAGCUCGAAGGUGCGGGUAUCGAACAGGAUUAGAUACCCUGGUAGUCCGCACAGUAAACGAUGGAUGCCCGCUGUUGGUACCUGGUAUCAGCGGCUAAGCGAAAGCAUUAAGCAUCCCACCUGGGGAGUACGCCGGCAACGGUGAAACUCAAAGGAAUUGACGGGGGCCCGCACAAGCGGAGGAACAUGUGGUUUAAUUCGAUGAUACGCGAGGAACCUUACCCAGGCUUGAAUUGCAGAGGAAGGAUUUAGAGAUA
rnacentral:rRNA from 1 species